CUGCAAUUCUGGAACAUGACAGUUGAAGAUUUUAGAAGGGACAUUUCAUAGUCAUAUGGUCCCUUUUGCCUUUGUUAAAAAUUCAGGUUUUGGGAUGGUUCAAGUGAAAUGUGAAUAUUUAGUGGUGAGUAGACAUUGGAAAGGGGUCCUAGAAAGGAACUAUACAGACUGGUUGGACCUUCUACCUAUUCCAAUUAUGUCGAUUGAUGUCUUACAAUUUAUCUUUCAAGUGAAAGGGAGAAAGUGAGAUGUGUGAAGUGAACAUUUGAAGAUGGUCCCAGCAGGGAACCAUGCUGACUAGUCACGCUUCUGCCUCUUUUAACUGUCUUGUAAGAUCAUUUAUAUAAGUUUUUGUGCGCUGGCUUCAAGAACAUGAUAUUUUCUUCUAUGCUUCAGAGACUUCUCAUGAGUUGUUUGAAGUAGCUUAUAUAUUGAUGGGAAUUAAUCCCUUGAUCUUCUUUCCAAAUUGUUGGUAAUCUGAGGCUUUGUUGGUAUCUGAAGCUUGCUGCUGCAACGUUAGUACAUGUCUUCCAGAAUUUCUGUUAUAUUUUCAAAUUGCAUUCAAAUGGUGAUAUUUGUUGCAAGUUAAGUGGUUUUACCGAGAUGUUAACCUUAGGUGUAAUUUUGGUGGGCAGUUGCAUGAAUUGAACAAGUAGCACAAGUUUUUGGCCAUUAGACC
rnacentral:lncRNA from 1 species